UGCGGGCGCAAAUUCAAGGUGUGCGAUCUGGCAGGAGAAACGAAACCCGAGGCAGAACGGGGCGAUGUGAAAAAAAAAAAGACAACAGAAGAGCGUGCACAAGAACAAGCCAUCGCACCUACUGAAAAUCUUCAAGGUGGUUAAGUCAUGAAUCACACCGCAAGGCCAGACUCAGGGCUGGAAUGGAAAAGCUUUGUGAAGAAUCCCAGACACCGGUGGGAAAUAACUCCAGGGGAAAGCAGAUUACGCUUUUAAACAUCCCACAUGCACUUAAGGGGCCCAAGCACCAAAUUAAUUUUGGACCGUGAACAGUCUAUUGGUGGAAAGUUCAGUAAAGGGAUCUCCGGCUGCAGAAAGCUUCAGAAGUACCAGUAUAAUAAUAAAAUUAAAUCCUAC